CCAAGGUAAAGGUACAUUUAAUUCAUUUUGAAAAACCGUUUAUCGAAACCUAAUUUUUCAGGGCUUUCUCAUUGUCCUACUACUAUGUCGCUUCGAGCAGCGGUGAUCCUAAUUGCUUUUGGUCUAUGUCUGCUACUGUUAACAUGCGAGACUGAAGCGCGCCCGCGCCGCCGGCCACCGGGCCGCUCCUCUUGCGCCAAGUCUCUCCGGACCGCAGCCAGGAUCCUCAGAACCGAUGACAAGUCGAGCGACGACGAGAAGAAAGAAAGUAAGAAAGACGCCGACGAUUGUCUGGUCUAUUACUGGCCGUAUUAUUACUACCCGUACUAUUAUUAUUAUUGGGGAUAUCCGGUUUAUUAUUAUUGGGGAUAGACGUGGAUUAAAUAAAAUAAUUUGAUAUAGCA